AAAUUAUUUUUUGUGGGUUCUGGGAACCAAAUCCAAUUCCUCAUGCUUAUGAGGCCUCUGUUGUCAGUUUCUGGAAUUCCUGCAAAGCUGAAGCUCUCCCACCGGGAAACAGCAGUUUUCUAUGCUUCCCUUUUCCUUUGCUACCAUUUCCAUUGUCAGGAACCCUGACUACUAGAAUAGUGAAAUGUUUGUCUAAUUUGCAUGCCAACUUCUAGGUCCAUCCAUUCUAUAGCUUCUGUCAAAAAUAAUUUAGUUCCUUUUAUUGGUGUUUAUUAGUUUUCAUAAUUUUGUUGAUUGGCUUGAAAAGUUAUCCUGGCCCAGGCAUAGAGGCACACACCUUUAAUUCCACCAUUUGGGUGGCAGAGGCAGGCGGAUCUCCAAAUUUGAGGUGGGUCUGGUCUUCAUGGUGAGUUCUAGGAUAGCCUGGAGUGAGAUCCUGUCUCAAGAAAAAGAAAGAAAGGUUAUUCUAGUUGACUUUGUCAGCAUUGUCUUCAGUAAACAGUGGUGUUGCUGAGCAACCCUUUCCUCCUCUGCAUUAUUAGAGGGUCAUGGUUUUGUGCACAUACUAGGAUGUUGGUUUUGGAGACCUGUUCUUUUUGCUGAAUUUUGGUUUUACUUCUGAGUUACUUAGAGCUUCUCAUUAUAUUCUUAUUACAUACAUGAAAUGUUCUGGAUUGCUACUCCAUAUUGCUCAUCUUUUCUCCUGUUUGAACUAUUUCUACAAGGUUUUCCUCUAUAUUCUGUCAUAUAUAUGCUGGGUUCUGCUUGCUUUAUUCUUUUAGAAAGCCUUACUCUUGGCUUGUCUAGUGUUUUUAGUAUUGUCUCCUAACUGUCCUCUUUUGCUCAUUAAUGAGAUCUCCCUCUGUGUAUAGACUGGCUUGAAUCCUUCCUCAGACGUCCAAGUGCUCGAAUUACAGGCAUUUUUCACUAUGCCCACAUUAAUUAUGAGUGGAGUUGAUUUGGCCAAUUUGUUAAGGUCUUUGUUGAAGAAAGGAAUAUACUAUCACAGGUGCUUAACUAGUUUGCAAGCUGUUGCUUAGGGUGAGUAAAGAGAGAGUCAGGAGUCAAGACUUUGGUUUUCUGGACUCACCUAGAGCUGACUGGAAGUAGAUUUUCCAAGUGUAUGGUGACUACUGUCCAAACAGUUUACCUACUGUUGUCAUGGCCUUUAGGACUUUUUUCUUGCUUUGGGGAGCCACAGGAAAUACAGGAUUCCUUUUAAAGACGACACAGCGAGUUAGCAAGGAUUAUGAAUGUCUGCAGUGACUUAAAAUAUCCAUGCCUGCAGGGCUUAGCAGAGACUACUGUAGUGUCAGAUCUGUUAGCAUAAGUGUGAAAUACCAUUUAAUUAGCUCUUGUGCAUUUUCUACAAAGGUGAAACUAAGCUUCUUGCUUAGUUUGCUAAUUCCUUAGACUUUAUUGAUUGCUAACAGUGCUCUUACUUGCCUUGCCAAGAUUUCCUUUGAUGAUUCC
rnacentral:lncRNA from 1 species